ACAUCAUGAUCCUCAUAAAGCAGGAAUCAGAAGAACUCAGUGAAGAGACACAGUCUGUCAUUGAGAGGUUCGCAGGACAACAUGAGUUCUUCGGUCCAAAGACACAAGUGUCCACAUUGAUGGAGAACAUCGAGCAGAUGCUGAAUGAAAACAGAGGAGAGUUUUACUCCACAGAGACAUUUCUGGAGACUCAGAUGAAUAAACUGAUGAAAUAUGAAGAGAUGGAGAAGAACAUCAACUCAACAGACACAUAUUUAGUGUCAUAAGAAGAUAGACGACAUGGUGAAAGAGAACUGAAACUCCUUGAAGAACAGGAUGAAGAAGAACUGAAGUGAAGACGAGUGCAGUGGAGAGAGGAAUAUGAGAGAAAGGAAGAGGAGAUGAAGAUGAUGAAGAAGAUCUGCUCUAAAACUGAUCCGUCACUGCAGUAUUUUACAUGUUUUCGGUCCAACUCUGCUCCAGUUUCCCCAGUAAAAAUAAAUUACUCAUUACAAGUCAUGCAGUGGUGCUUGGAGGUGAUCUCACAAGAACCAGACUGAAAAAAAUGAUGUGCACCUCUGGCUGAUUCGCCCCAUAUUUCUCUUCUCAUGUAAAGUGACCUUGUCCCCUCAUACAGUAAGAUAGCAGUAGAAGAGGGAGAGACUCGAGCAAAGAACACAGAAUGAUGGUUGCCCUUACAGAUUGUGUGAAUGCUAAUAAUUGAAGUGAAAUGUGUCAAGCUUCCCCAAGAAGUCACAAAGAAACAUGUAUCCUUAUUUUUAUUUAUGAACCCAAGAAAAUAAGGUCAGGUCAGAGAUGUGAGAGAGGAGGACAUGGACCCUAAUGGAGAGGUGAAAGAGGAGGGCAAGGGCCCUCACAGAGAGGUCAGAGAUGAGAGAGGAGGGCAUGAACCCUCACAGAGAGGUCAGAGAUGUGAGAGAGGAGGGCAUGGACCAACACAGAGAGGCCAGAGAUGUGAGGGAGGAGGGCAUGGACCCUCACAGAGAGGUCAGAGAUGUGAGAGAGGAGGGCAUGGACCCUCACAGAGAGGUCA